AGGUCCUUCCUUCCCGAGGCCUCCGAAUCCUACCAGCUGAGAUCCUCUCCACGGGACUCGCGGCCCCACAGCCUCCGGGGCCUGGACCAAAUGCCUGCCUUAAAAACAUAAUGUUAUGCCGCACAGUGGGUCACAUUUGCCAGCGACCUGAGAUCACAAGGGACAGAGUGUAAGAGAACCCCCAGCUGGUCCCAGCACCUCUCAUGGCGCCUGGCACACAUGGAGGGAGACGGGCAGUGAGUUUGAACUGGGCUUCUGUCCUCUACAAAUGAAAGGAUAUUAUCCUCGUGCGCCCAUUUUAGAGAUGAAGAGACUGAGGACCAAAGAGCUCUAUCUUACCCCAAGUCACUCAGCUUUCUGGAGGCAGAGCAGGGACAAGGACUCUGCUCUAACUCCCAUUCCAGCAAACUCCCCGGAUUCCACACAGCCUAGGGCUGCUGCCCUCAGCGGUCUGGCCAGUGCCCUGGUGCCGCUGCGGUUCGGGCAACCAGUCUGUACUAAAAGGCCUUCUGCCUUCAGUGAAAGCCUGCUUCUCUUAUGAGGCGGCAAAGCCAAAGGGAACCCGCUGUUCUUGGCAGACGUAAGCCGACUUCUAAACAGCCCCAACUGCGGCUGCGACAGCGCUGCGUGCCCAGAUGUUUCUCGCUCGCCUCUUUGUGCCCGACACCCCACCCCCUCGAGUACAUGAAAGCCCUCGGGCGGCUGCCCGCCCUGCCUUUAUUUCAUACACAAACAUACCCAACAUCUGCCCCUCGGCCGGGGAGCCCUGCAGAACAUCAGGGGACGUGUGGAAGAUAAUUAUUCCAUGAGAUCCAAAGAUAUGUCUCGCGGACAUAAAUCUUGGGGAGUCUCUAUGGAAACACACAAAAAUGCAUGUUGUUUUUAUUAAUACUCACAAGGAAACGUCUCUGGAAUCAACCGCUUGUUUUAAACCACAGCAGAAGAGCCAGUGUGUUUCUCGUUCAAGAGCAUCUGUGGGCCUUUUUUAAUUAUGGACGGAGCAGCCGACAGAAAAGAACCCGCCAAGUCCAGGAGGCCCAGGUGACGUGAUCGUUGCUCGCGGAAGCACUGUCACCCUUUCCUCUGAAAGACCCGUUCUUGCCUGAGCCUGCCGAGGAUGGCAGAGGCCGGCGCGCAGGGCCCGCUUGGGGACACGCAGCCCACGAAUCCAGCUCUUACUGGAGAAGAGAAGGCUGCAGGCCCCAGGCUCUUUCUUGCUGUAGCUCACACACUUCUGCACAGCUGCGGGAAGGGAGCCUGGGUUCGCAUCUGGCUCCCCCACAUGCCCCUGUGAGGCCCGCAGCCGGCCUCCCCUCCCCCUUUAUCUCCUCGUCUGUAAAUGCGAGCAUCUCACAGCACCCGCUUCCCAGGCAACUUGGAGGCUUAAUGGGGAUAAGAGCCUUUGAUGAGCAUCUGGUCCCAGGCGAACGCUCGCAGAUGGGGGCUGCGGGAGAAGAAAGACCACGAACACUCUGAUGUCACUCCCACCGAGAGGUGAAAUCUGUGUCCCCUCCCCUUGAUCCUGGGCAGCUCUGCAAAGGACGCCUGGAAGCGAUGCUGGGCCAGGGUCUGGGCUCUGGGUCUUAGCUUCCUCCACUUCCUGCCUCUUGAAAUGCUUGCUCUUGGGACCGCCGUGCUGUGGCGAAGCCCAAAGCCACGAGGAGCCAGCACAGAGAGGGGGACACCAGCCAGCCCCAGGCCGUCCCUGCCGCCCCAGCCCAGGCACCAAGACAAGAGUGAGGACGCCCCUGUGGACGGCCAGGCCAUCAGUCGGGACUCCAGCCCCAUCCUCCUCUGACCACAACCGAGCAAGACCCAGGCAGGUGGGUCCGGUCAGUCCGUAAACCAUCACAAGAAAGGACUGUUUGAAGCCGCUGAGGUUUGGGCUCUUUGUUUUCUAAAGCGUGAUCCAGACGUCGCGACUGAUAAGCCUCAUCAUCCACAGCCCACUGCCAAAGGCACUUACAGCAGCAGUGAGGGCCCAGGAUGCUUCAGGAGGGAAGGCUGGCCCGAUCUGCUGGCCCGAGGGCCACCGAGCCACCUUCCCUCAAGCCCCGGACACGGGCUCUCCGAGUUCUUUCCACGCCCUGGCCUAAGGCGGGGCCAGCCCAUCCCACAGAGACCGUGCACGGAACAGCCCACCUCUGCAACAUCGGCCCUUUUACGGUACUGAUGUAUUUUUGCAAAAGAUGAAUAAAAUUAAACAAAGGACAGGGACCUUCAAAAAUCAACUCAGGGUGAAAACUUUGAGGACGAGACCCGCCAGGUGCCCAGUCAAAGUCACAGAGCGUGUGAUACUGACGACUGCCACCAUUUCCAAAAUGCUGUCACCUGCUGGGCACGUCAGGAUGCAGUCUCUAAUUCUCCUCCGAAAAGGUCAAGAUGAGGCCAUCCUCCUCUUUCGCAGAUGAGGCGCGAGAGGGCCCAGAGAGGUGAAGCUACUUGCCCAGAGUCACACAGCCAGGUCGCACACCUGGGGUGUGGAGGUCAAGGCUGAAUCCAGGCCAGGCUGCCCCAUAUGACACCAGGAGGAGGGUAAGGGCCAUCUCCGUGGUGAACUUGCGUAGAGCACCCCCAGCUGGCAAAACCUCUCCACACACCGUCUCUCCAUCCAGCCCUGCUGCGACCUGUGCGGUCACGGAGCUGCCCCCCCGCCCCCACCCCGUACAGAGGAGCCCCCCCGGGCUGGGGAAGGCUCCGUGGCCCGUGGCCACCACCAUGAGCGGCUGAGCUGGCAUCUGAGCCCGGGGCCUCCCAGCUACGGAAGCGCUGGGCUCAGACCUCAGGUCCUGACACCCUGCCCAGGGCUCUCCUCCUUAGGGCGUCUCUUCUCACAGCACGUGGAGUGACAUGUCUUGCUUUUUAGGUGACAACGGAGAGGAAUCACACCCUCCAGGGAGUUGGAUUCUAGUCACAAGAAGGGUUUACGAAGCACCUCCCCGCCACCAUCGCAUCUGACCCCCAAGAGUCCUCAGGGUGGGCCCCCGGGGACAUCCCGGUGACAUUCCUGGCGGUGAGGAGACAGGGAGCCAGCGAAGGAAGAACCUUGGCCGUGACCCUUCACCCGUGUGUGGCAAGGCCAGCCCGCCCUGGGCCUCAGUUUUACACCCGCGAAGAGAGCUGCCGGGCCAGCCCUCCGGCUCAUCUCAGACUCCGUGUUUAUGCCCCAGAUCCUUCCAAGAAAACACAGAGCAAACAUCCCGUGAAGACUAAUAAUGCCGCUUCUUCCUUUUGUUUUACGACGCCAUUUAGAGUUGGCCAAACAGCCACAGCGCGGCAAGUGUUGGAGAAAUGUUUUUCAUUAUAUUUGAAAGGAAUGUUUGGGUACAAAUAUUGCAUUGUUUAUUCGUUCCAAUAAUUUUCUUUUGCAAGUAUUCCACUGAAAACCAGAUAAUGGAUUUCAUUACCCAAGAACAUUAAAGCUUCCAAUAAAUGCAAAAAACAC
ensembl:lncRNA